rnacentral:rRNA from 1 species
CCUACGUGUGGCAGCAGUGAGGAAUAUUGGUCAAUGGGCGCGAGCCUGAACCAGCCAAGUAGCGUGAAGGCUGACUGCCCUACGGGUUGUAAACUUCUUUUAUAAAGGAAUAAAGUGAGGCACGUGUGCCUUUUUGUAUGUACUUUAUGAAUAAGGAUCGGCUAACCCCGUUCCAGCACCCGCGGUAAUACGGAGGAUCCGAGCGUUAUCCGGUUUUAAUGGGUUUAAAGGGAGCGUAGAUGGGUUGUUAAGUCAGUUGUGAAGGUUUGCGGCUCAACCGUAAAAUUGCAGUUGAAACUGGCAGUCUUGAGUACAGUAGAGGUAGGCGGAAUUCGUGGUGUAGCGGUGAAAUGCUUAGAUAUCACGAAGAACUCCGAUUGCGAAGGCAGUUCACUGGACUGCAACUGACACUGAGGCUCGAAAGUGUGGGUAUCAAACAGGAUUAGAUACCCGAGUAGUC